rnacentral:tmRNA from 1 species
ACUAUGGAACCGAGGGCGGAUCUCGGCAUCUCCAUAAAAAUGUUUGAUAACAUUUUUUGGGGAUGUUUUUAGUAUUCGACAUAGU